GGAAAAUAAAAUUUGUGGUUUUUGGAGAGAAAACAUAAUUCUGGCGGAAAACAUGAUUUGUGGUUUUUGUCAUAAAACUUGAUUUUGUGAUUUUUGUGGAAAGAACUCAACUUUGUUAUUUUGUCUGAAAACAAUUUUACUGUUUUAGCAAUAAAACACAGAUUGUGUGAUUUUGGCAAAACGUAUGAUUCUAUAUCUUGUGAGUUUUUACUUGUCUGUCAAACUUCUUUGCAGAGCCAUAUAUAUCCAUGUCGUAUGGUUUGACCAUCUUGUCUCUCUGAGCCAAAGUAAACCACAAACUGAAUCAGAUUUCUAAAAGAAGCCAAAACACGAAGACAAAAUCAACAUUCCUUUUUUACUUCUUUGUCGAUCUUCUGUGCAGAACCAUAUCAAUGUUGUCCAUCAGACACUGGUUUGACCAUCUGGUCUCUCUGAGACAGAAUAAUACACAAACUGAAUUAGAUUUCUAAUAGAAGCCAAAACACAAAGACAAAAUCAUGAUUAUUUUUACCUCUCUCUCUACUUUCUCGGGUGGGUCGAGUCUGGAUUAUCUUUUAUUUAAUCUAUAUCUAUAUAUAUAUAUAUAUAUAAAAUAGUGUUUUCUUCCUCCUAGUGCUACCACGUCAUUAAGUAGAGGGAGGAGAACACGCCACGUGUCCAAUUCUCUUAAAAGUUUGUCGGACGAACUUCGUAUUGUAUCUUUCCUUGGAUAUUUCUUUUAUAAGAGCCCAUUAGAAGCUUGAGGCCCAUAACUUCUUUCUCUUAUACACCUCCAUUAACCGUGCAAAUCGACGCCGUCAGCUUCAACCUAAAUCCCACAGCCUCCCAAAAUACGCCUAUGUAACGUUAAAGAUCAACAUUCAAUCGACGUAAUUGUGAUCACCAUUAACGACAUUUAAACUAUACCUUCCAUGACUUCUCAUUCAAUUCUCCUCUCUCUCCACCAUUGUUACUCUCCAAAUCUAAUCUAUAAAUAGCGAUAUCUUAUUUUACUGUUUCACAUCCCUCCUCCUCAUUCCUAAUUCUUAAUCCUCGGUCCUCUGUGGUAACAUCCAGAAUGCGAGGUUCAAAACUUCUCCUACUCCCAAACAUAGAAUCAUCAGUCACUCUUCGCUCAAAGCCUCUAAAUUUGUUUUCGUAAUCGAGAGCUACCGCCACGACUACAUGGUCAUUCCUAUGUCUCCGACCAAUCCUUUUUAAUUCCCGACAUGUUAAAUCUCCGUUAUGUAUCCGUUGACAUUGCUGCUAAUCUGGCUUCGAUCACUGCCGGUAUGACUCUCUGCAAGGUUUGUGACAGUGGAGAGAAGCAAAACCUAAGGAUUCCCCGCCGGAGUGUAUCUGACGGUUGGUAUCGGUGGUGGGUACGGUAAUAUCUUAAGAGAAUUUGGAUUAUCAGUCGAUAACUUUGGGACUAUCGUAGCCGUAAAUGGUAUUUAUUUUUUAGACCGGAAGUCCAUAUUUGAAAAUCUUUUAUGGGCAAUCUUUGGCAUAGGAGGAACCACGUAGUUGCGUCUAGGGAAGAAAUUUAAGACGUUACGAACCACGUUAGUUGCGUUUGGAAGCUGAUUCAAACCAUGAUGGGAAGAAAGUUGAGACGGUGAGAGCCACGGUAAUUGCGUCUUUUUAGUAUGUCUUUUAAAAUAUUGAGAUUGCUUUUGAAUCUUUGCCAAGUAUGUGUUAAUGAGACGAACAAAGCAUAACUCUAAGUCCGACUAAAACUUUGAAACUGUGACAGUUUAAUAAAAAAGACUUUGUGCCAGAAACAGAGCAGAUGAUGAACUGUUAUUAACCAUAUUAAGAUUUGCUAGCAUCUGAAAUUACGUCCGUGACCCAUAUAUAGUGUUGCUUGAAAGUAAACUUUCGUUGAAUAAUAUAGCAAGACAUCAAAAAUUAAAUAAAGUGCUCCAAAAUUUAAUUAAAUAACUAUACCACCGUAUAUUAAAACUACAAAAUCAAAAAAAAAAAACAAAUAUUUAUAACACAAAUAUAUAGACAUCCCGCGCGUAGCGCGGACCGACCCUAGUUUUAAAUAUGUUGCGGUAUCUUCUUUUUAUACUGCAUGGUAACAAUAUUUAUAUGUUUCAGAAAAAGAAGAAAAGACAGAACAUGAGCUUCUUUUAUUGUGUGUUAUAGGCCUGGGCGUUUUAUACUGCAACCGAAGCCCAAAGUGGAACCCGAACCGAAGUCUCAGUAUUGGACCGGUAACGGGCCUAAGAAAAAAACCGAAUGGAUUUUGUAGCCCACGAAUUUCGGUUAUGGUCUGGUUCGGUUGAAAACCGAAAUCAAAACAAGUAACCGAACAAUACCGAGCAUUUAUAACACUGUCUCAUGUAUAUAUACAUUCAUUUACACAUAUACACGCGAAAGGAUACUGUCUCUUCAUUUCUUGAACGCGUGAGCCGACGAACCCUAAUUCCCAAUAAAAAUUUCUCUUGAUUAUUGAUUAUCAUCAUUCAAAAACUCAAACUGGCCACUAUAAAUCAGUUAGCCUCUCCAUCUUCUUCUUCAUCCGAGCAUUCGAGAAUUCAGUCACAGAUGGACUCUACAUCAUCUUUUAACCGAGAAACCGACAACAUGGAUGAUGCAGGCAACAUUCAAACACCGGAUAGUACUAGCGGCAAGAGGAAAGAAACCGAGGAAUCUAGUGGAGCGACAAACAAUGUGAAGUGUAUUCUCCCAACAAGGUACAAAGUGUGGGAACACUACACAAGGAUGAAGGAAGAUCGAAACAAGUGUGUAUGCAACUACUGCCAUAACACAUUUUCGUGUCUCACAAGCUCAGGGACCUCAAAUCAUAAGAGCCAUCUUGAGAAUGUAAGAGUCAUCUUGCUUGGUCGGAUGGACAAGAAGAUAAGCAGCCAACCAUUGACGAUGAAGGGAAACUUACGAAGGCAAAGUUGACUGAAGCUCAGUUGAGAGAAGCCACAAAUCAGAUGAUUGUCUUAGGACAAUUGCCGUUGUCAUUUGUUGAAAGUGUAGCUUGGAGACAUUUCUGUAACAAGGUUAACUUUGGAUACACUCCUCAUUCAAGAAGAACUGAGACUAAAGUCAUUAUCAAGAUGUAUGUGGAAAGGAAAGAACACUCAAGAAAUGGUUCUUGUCUAACAAUCAACGAGUAUCUUUGACAACAGAUACUUGGGUCUCCCCAACUACAGGUAAUCCUUUACACAUUUUCUGACCCUUUAUACACAUUUUUGAUUCGUUUAUACAUCAUGGAGUUCUUACUGUUCAUUGUAUACAGGUGCGAGUUACAUGGUCAUCACAGUGCACUAUAUUGAUGCUUCUUGGCGGUUGAAGAAGCUGAUCAUUGGGUUCAAACACAUCACAGAUCAAAAAGGUCAGACUAUAGCAAAUGUUUUACUCGAGUGCUUGUCUGACUGGGGAAUAAUAAAUGUUUUCUGCAUAACCGUUGAUAAUGCAAUUGCCAAUAGUUCAGCGUUGAGGAAGUUUCAAAGUAGUUUUGCUUUAGGUUCUGAUCAGGCUUUCGUGUUAGAUGGAGAGUUUUUACACAUGAGAUGCAGUGCCCAUAUCAUUAACUUGAUAGUUAGAGAUGGAAUGGCUGAAAUAGAUCAGAGUGUUGUUGCUAUCCGUAAUGUUGUCUCCUAUGUUAGAUCACAUACUAACAAGUUGAGAUCUUUUGAGCUAAAAGUUGACUCCGGUAAGAUUACAAGGGGAAGUCUUCCGUUGAUGUGAAGACAAGGUGGAAUUCAACUUAUCUAAUGUUGACAACAGCUCAAAAGUUCAAGGUGGCUUUCGAUAAGAUGGAAGCAGAAGACAAGCUCUACAAUGAUCAUUUCUCUGAGUUUGAAAAUGGAGCAUCAAGGGUUGGGCCUCCUCAGCAAAGGGAUUGGAGUGUUGUUGAGAAGUUAUGUCGACUUCUUAUCAUCUUCUACAACUCGACACUGGUGGUCUCGGCUUCAACUUCACUCAAUUCACAUAAGUGCUAUGGUAAGAUUGUAACCAUUGCGACUAAUCUGGUAGGACUCUCCAGCAGCCCUGAUUCUGAGAUGAGGUCUAAGGCGUCAGAUAUGCUCAAGAAGUUUGAGAAGUAUUGGGAUGACAUGAAGAAUAUUAACAUGAUGUUAAUUGUGGCCACUGUUUUCGACCCCAGCAACAAGUUGGAGCUUGCCAAGAUGUGUUUUGAAGAGUUAUAUGGGCUAGAGACUACUGAGUAUAAGGAGAUGCAUGACUCCUUGAUUUGUGUCUUGAGGAGUUUGUUCAGAGAGUACAGUUCAAGACAUGGAGCCGCGCUUGAUCCAAGUGACAAAUUUUCCCACUCUAACAACUCAAGUCAGUCUAGAGACCAAUGUAUUGAAAGUGAAAGGAUGGAGCUUGUGGACGACUGUGUGGGUUACAAAAGAAUGGAUGUCAGGUACAAGCAGAAGCUCAACGAAAUAGGGGUUAGAGAAGAAGGGUGAGCUAAAAACAUACCUUAAAGAGUCUGUGGAACACCCUGACCUGAUGAUUGGAAUGGAGUAUGAUGUGCUCUCAUGGUGAAGAAAGAACUCAGCUAAGUAUCCUAUCUUGUCUUCGGUUGCUCGGGAUGUCUUGGCUUUACAAGUCUCGUCAAUUGCUUCUGAGAGUGCCUUUAGUACAUCUGGUCGGCUUCUCGAACCACACCGGAGCUCUCUAACCCAUUACAUGGUGGAGGUUUUAAUGUGCACAGAGCAGUGGCCGAAGCAAGACAUAAAGAUGGAGUCAAGAGUGCUUUCAAAUGCUCAGAUACUAGCUGAUCUUGAAGAAGUGGACAUGCUUGAAAGAGAGUGUGGAGACACAAUAGUUCCAGAAGAAGACUAAGGCUUUAUUGUUGCUUAAGAAGAUCAUGGCUAUGUGAACACUUUGUUUCUUUGUUUCGGUUUGAGGUUUAUGUUUUUUUCUUGCAAUUUGAUCACUUUCUUUCGGCUUGAAUGUUGGUUAUGCAAACAAAAAAAAAUCUCAACUAGUGUGUUAAAGUGGAUUUUCCACAUACAUUCUUGAGAGGUUCUGCAAAGAAGUCUUUAUUAAUGACUAGAUAAGGCUCGUGCGUUGCAACGAGUUUUGUUUGAUGUUUUAGUAAAAAUAUAAAAAUAAUAAAUC